CCUGCCACGAAGCCCGCCGGAACCCUAGCCUCUGAUUGUCCCAUCUCCCCUGCCGCCCCCUUGCCGCGGGCCCGCGGUCGGAACCCUAGCUCCAGAGAAGUGGUUGCUGCAGGCGAGGAGAUCUCUGAUAUAAGCUAGCUUCGCCGCCUCACAGCUGCAGCAAGACCCUGAAUUGGGCAGCAUCGUGAAGGACAAGAAGUCACUAUGAUGACUGCUCGAGGGUCACCAAGGUUGAGCCUCCUCAAAAAAGCUGUCGAGAGGGAUAGAGCAUCACCUCCUACAAGCAGUGUGACAAAGAGGAGGAGAGGGUCUC